rnacentral:rRNA from 1 species
UACGGAGGGGGCUAGCGUUGUUCGGAAUUACUGGGCGUAAAGCGCACGUAGGCGGCUUUGUAAGUUAGAGGUGAAAGCCUGGGGCUCAACUCCAGAAUUGCCUUUAAGACUGCAUCGCUUGAACACGGGAGAGGUGAGUGGAAUUCCGAGUGUAGAGGUGAAAUUCGUAGAUAUUCGGAAGAACACCAGUGGCGAAGGCGGCUCACUGGACCGUUGUUGACGCUGAGGUGCGAAAGCGUGGGGAGCAAACAGG